GAUGAACGCUAGCGGCAGGCUUAAUACAUGCAAGUCGAGGGGCAGCACGAAUAGCAAUAUUUGGUGGCGACCGGCGCACGGGUGCGUAACACGUAUACAACCUACCUAUAACAGGGGGAUAGCCUUUCGAAAGAGAGAUUAAUACCCCGUAAUAAAUUUGAUGGCAUCAUUAGAUUUUGAAAGCUCCGGCGGUUAUAGAUGGGUAUGCGUCUGAUUAGCUAGUUGGUGAGGUAACGGCUCACCAAGGCGACGAUCAGUAGGGGAUCUGAGAGGACUAACCCCCACACUGGUACUGAGAAACGGACCAGACUCCUACGGGAGGCAGCAGGAAUGAAUGUUGGUCAAUGGAGGCAACUCUGAACCGGCCAUGCCGCGUGCAGGAUGACGGCCCUAUGGGUUGUAAACUGCUUUUGUACCAGAGAAAACCCCAGUACGUGUACUGGGUUGAUAGUAUGGUAAGAAUAAGCAUCGGCUAACUUCGUGCCAGCAGCCGCCGUAAGAC
rnacentral:rRNA from 1 species